ACACACUGACUGACACACACUCACUGACCGACACACACUCACUGACUGACACAUACACACUCACUGACUGACACAUAUACACUCACUGACCAACACACACAUUCACUCACAGACACACACACAUUCACUUACAGACACACACACACACACAUUCACUUCAAAAUAAACACUCACAGACACACACACAGACAUUUCCACUAACACUCACAAACUAAUAUUUUUU